ensembl:lncRNA
CCAAGAAGUACUGCAAAACUAUUCACAGCUCUUUUGCACUCCUGACAGAAUCGGACUGAACAGAGCCAUAUGGGACUGCCAAAGCUGUCGCUCACCUGAGAAACACUUAAGCAUAACAACCAGCUGGCGACGACCCAGAAGAGUUUAUCUUACAUAUACUAUUUUACACACACAUGCAAACACAUGAAUAUACAAAAUGAAAUAUUAUAGAAAAUAAAAAUCAUAAUAUUAUUAUAUAAACACUGCUGUUCAAAGCUUUGGGGUUGAUCUUUUUUUAAAUGUUCAAGUAGCCUCUUAUUCUCACCAAGGCUGCAAAAAAAAAAAGAAAUAAAAAAAAAAAAUCAUUAAACUGAAAAUAAUUAUUUUCUAUUUUAAUAUAUAAAAUAUUAAUAUAUAAAGCUGAAUUUUUAGCCAUUACUCCAGUCUUUGGUAAAACACUUCUUCUUAUUAGCAAUGUUAAAAAGUAUAUUGCUCCUUAAUAUUUAGCUUUAUAUAUCUCUCAAAAAAGUGGCGUGACAUACAGCCAAGUAUGGUUUGCUAACCCAUCCAAAGUGCACACACACAGCAGUGAACACCAACUAAGUUCAACACUAACUGGAUGCCAAUAAAAAGGUGUUCUAAAAUGUGUCUCUUCAUUUCCAGAGCAUGUGACAAAAGAAGGGCUAUGCCAUUUACUCAAACAGCACAAACAAGCAGCGGUUGUCUGUGUUAUUGCACAUGGGGAGGUAAAUCCAGCAUGGGAUCAGAAUCUAAAUGACUUCACUCCUACAGCUGCCCCCUCCACACGAGCUCCUCGGUCACUGAUUCUGCUUAAAACUGCCAAUAAGGAAUUAUUAGAAGUUGGAUUUGGAGGCUCCCCGUCGGAUUGCACUGGCAGGUCAUAAGGAUGGAAGAGGAGCCAAUAACCUUUUACUGACAAAGUGACUGUGCCACUUAGGAAAAAACAACCACUCUUUAAUUUAGCCCUCCUCCGUUCAGACCCGGAGAAGCUGACCCUCCCCUCCACCUCUCGCGAUCAGCGGGAUGAGUGGCGGUACAGCUGUGAUUCUCAAUCGCGCCACAAGAGCUCCUCGAUUCAUUAGCCAUGAGACUGAUCUGUGCGUGUGUGUGGACUGUGGAGAGCAGGAACAUGCACUGAAUCUUAGUGAAGUUCUGGACGAGCAUGACUGCGGGACUGGAGUAAAAGCAUCUUGUUCUGAGAAGAGUUAUGGUGGCUUUGGUGUCAGUAGGCCUGUUCUGAUGUGAUUGAGUGCUCUGCUGGGUGGAAAAACUUUCUCAUAGCUGACCGAGGAUGUGAUGUCCCCUGUUGGACUAUGUCAGCAUGAGGUCAGACAGGUAUAGGUGACAAUACUGGCAGUUCUGGGAAUCAUUAUUACAUGCUGGCAGCUCUCAUAAACUCACAGUACUCUCUUCAGUCCCAGCGCGACAAGACAGUCUGAGACAAGACAGACAAAGAUAUUUGGCAUGCAAUCUGGUGCAUAUUCUGGCCAAGAACUGUCUAUUCAGAGUGUGAGGGGGCAUAUGAGUGACAUAUAAAAGAGCCAAAACACAGUUUGCUCAUUUUUAUGUGACAUUUAGGGGCAGGUAAAUAUGAAAUUAACGAUACUACAAAAAUAGACUGCCAUGCAUUACAGAGUUUGUCCUGCAAAUGUUCCUCAACAAAUAAAGCAAGCCGCAAUGUUUGAUUUUCGCACAAAGAACUCUUACAAUCUAGUUAUUUCCAAAUUGUACUGAACCCAAACUUUAGAGAACAUAUUGAAAAAAAAAAAAGUGAUUGAUUUAUAAAUCAAUUUAUUUAUAAUUAAUUAAUUGACUGUAAUUAUUUUGUGUAUUUAAUUGACUAUCUGAGGUGUUUUCAUACAUUAAAUAGGCAGGUACUGAAUAAUUGGCCUAUAAAGUAUCUGUUCACGACUCUGACAAAAGCUAAUUAUACUAAUAACAGUCAGCACUGAUCCCUGUCUGUUCACUGUUUUGUGAUCAUCACAGGGGAUGUUUUAGCAUGCAGAGCAUGGCUCAUCUCUUCUGAAAUUUUUGCUAAUCUGUUUUGAUACAAAUAUCACCCUGAAAUAACCAAACUGUCUCAGCAGGGACACUACACUGCUCAGAUAUCAGAAGUGAUUCAUGGUAAUGCGUGGGUUUUAUAUUCGCAUUCAUCCUUGUCAACAGAGAUGUUUGUAUUGAUCCAUCAGCGUGAGCUAUUUCACUUGGUGCAUCCAUCUCCUGACCACAGUCUCACACAUUGAAAUACAAAAUAAACACAAGAUGAAUAAGAAGGGUGGGAGUUAAGUCAGGCUCAAUAAAAUAAUGUAAAUGACAAUUCUGCCAUCAAUUACUCACAGUUCAAAAAAAAAAAAAAAAAUCAAUUUCUUCCAUGGAAUUGGAGAACUGGAGAAAUUUAGUAGACAUUUAGACUCUAAAUUUAAUAUAAAUUUAAUAGACUCUUUUCCAUGCAAUUUUAAUGAAUGGGGAUUUUGGCUCUCAACCUUCAAAAUUGAGGCAACAAGUACCAAAACAUGGUUCAUUUGACUUGUGCUCUAUAGCCUAGUUUAGGUAUUCUGACACAGUGUUUUAGUAAUUGUAUGUGUUUUGUCAUGUUUAUUAGUCUGUUAAUCAAUGACAAACUGACUUUAACUGAAAAAUUGAGUUUACUAUUGUCCUCUUGCUUUAUUGACACACUAUUCCCCUGUUUAAUACUGACUGUAUCGUAUUAAUUCUGUAUUGUAUAAAGCACUACAUAAAUAAAGGUGACUUCUCUCGACUUGA